rnacentral:rRNA from 1 species
UUCCAGACUCCUACGGGAGGCAGCAGUGGGGAAUAUUGCACAAUGGGGGGAACCCUGAUGCAGCGACGCCGCGUGAGUGAAGAAGUAUUUCGGUAUGUAAAGCUCUAUCAGCAGGGAAGAAGAUGACGGUACCUGACUAAGAAGCCCCGGCUAACUACGUGCCAGCAGCCGCGGUAAUACGUAGGGGGCAAGCGUUAUCCGGAUUUACUGGGUGUAAAGGGAGCGUAGACGGCGAUGCAAGCCAGAUGUGAAAGCCCGGGGCUCAACCCCGGGACUGCAUUUGGAACUGUGUGGCUGGAGUGUCGGAGAGGCAGGCGGAAUUCCUAGUGUAGCGGUGAAAUGCGUAGAUAUUAGGAGGAACACCAGUGGCGAAGGCGGCCUGCUGGACGAUGACUGACGGUGAGGCUCGAAAGCGUGGGGAGCAAACAGGAUUAGAUACCCGCGUACCA